GCGAGAGGUAAACAAAGAGCGGAGAGGCGUCGGCGCGUCACGUGGUGGCGGUGUGGUGUGCAUGCGCUGUGAUGAGGUGCUCGUGUGGGAACAGUGAAGGCAGGCUGCUCCAAAAGGGUGGUGAGCUGGGUGUGGAGCCGUGUGGAAACGAACGAAGCCACUAAGGAAGAACAUGUCAAGAUGAGAAAAAAUAAAUGGACAGCAGAAACUGGUGUAAUCUCAGGGCCAAAAUCUCUUACUCCAAGUUUUGAAAUGAGUAUUGGUAGAAGUUGGCUCCUUUUGAAAUCUGAGAAAUUAAAUUCAAAUCAUUUAAAUGAAAUGGGCAGUCUGUAACAUAAACUGGGAGCUUAAUACAAAUGAAACCACCAUAACGUGUUGUGUCUCAUCUAAACACAUUAUUAUUCUCAAAGGCCUCUAUAAACAUUAAUAACUGAAUGAUGUUUUAACCUCUGAUUCACAAACAGAGGAUAAAAUUAAAAAUGGAAAAGGAUUAUACUUUUUUCUAAAUUGCAUUUUACUUGUGAGUUUGAUAGGGGGACAAUUGGCCUAGCAUAAACAGUAUCAUAUUUGUCGUGGCUUUUAAAGUGCAUCCAAUUAUAUUUUGAGUGAUAAACUAAUGCUGCUAACCAGGUUAGUGCAGCCCAGCUGGGCCCUGGAAUGUUUUAGUGAACACUGCUUGCUUAAUCCAAUAAUCUCUAAUCCAUAGCGUGGGAGAAAUGUUUCCAUCAGGAAGCUGAAGUAGUAAAUGUAUCAUGUCGUUUAGAAGAUUAUAGCCAGGCCUGCCUCUGCAGUCUGGUCUCAGAAGGACACUCUGUACCAAUUAUGUCCAGCUCUCUGCUAGGCUGAGACCAAAUCUCAGGAUAUUUGCAGCAGAGUGCUGUUCUGUCACCUCGGCACUGGGGUCGGAUUAAUUCCCCUUUUGUCACGCUAGUGUUAAUAACUUCUUACUUACGUCAGUAAAUGGUAACUGUUGUCCCUUGUCUUUUGCAAUUCACAAAGCAAGACUGGAAUAAAAGUUCUGAAUCUAAGUGCUUGUGACAUCACCUUAU
ensembl:lncRNA